GAUUAAGUUAUUAAGGGCGCACGGUGGAUGCCUUGGCACUAGAAGCCGAUGAAGGACGUUACUAACGACGAUAUGCUUUGGGGAGCUGUAAGUAAGCUUUGAUCCAGAGAUUUCCGAAUGGGGAAACCCAGCAUGAGUUAUGUCAUGUUAUCGAUAUGUGAAUACAUAGCAUAUCAGAAGGCACACCCGGAGAACUGAAACAUCUUAGUACCCGGAGGAAGAGAAAGAAAAUUCGAUUCCCUUAGUAGCGGCGAGCGAAACGGGAAGAGCCCAAACCAACAAGCUUGCUUGUUGGGGUUGUAGGACACUCUAUACGGAGUUACAAAGGACGACAUUAGACGAAUCAUCUGGAAAGAUGAAUCAAAGAAGGUAAUAAUCCUGUAGUCGAAAAUGUUGUCUCUCUUGAGUGGAUCCUGAGUACGACGGAGCACGUGAAAUUCCGUCGGAAUCUGGGAGGACCAUCUCCUAAGGCUAAAUACUCUCUAGUGACCGAUAGUGAACCAGUACCGUGAGGGAAAGGUGAAAAGCACCCCGGAAGGGGAGUGAAAUAGAACCUGAAACCGUGUGCUUACAAGUAGUCAGAGCCCGUUAAUGGGUGAUGGCGUGCCUUUUGUAGAAUGAACCGGCGAGUUACGAUUUGAUGCAAGGUUAAGCAGUAAAUGUGGAGCCGUAGCGAAAGCGAGUCUGAAUAGGGCGUUUAGUAUUUGGUCGUAGACCCGAAACCAGGUGAUCUACCCUUGGUCAGGUUGAAGUUCAGGUAACACUGAAUGGAGGACCGAACCGACUUACGUUGAAAAGUGAGCGGAUGAACUGAGGGUAGCGGAGAAAUUCCAAUCGAACCUGGAGAUAGCUGGUUCUCUCCGAAAUAGCUUUAGGGCUAGCCUCAAGUGAUGAUUAUUGGAGGUAGAGCACUGUUUGGACGAGGGGCCCCUCUCGGGUUACCGAAUUCAGACAAACUCCGAAUGCCAAUUAAUUUAACUUGGGAGUCAGAACAUGGGUGAUAAGGUCCGUGUUCGAAAGGGAAACAGCCCAGACCACCAGCUAAGGUCCCAAAAUAUAUGUUAAGUGGAAAAGGAUGUGGCGUUGCCCAGACAACUAGGAUGUUGGCUUAGAAGCAGCCAUCAUUUAAAGAGUGCGUAAUAGCUCACUAGUCGAGUGACACUGCGCCGAAAAUGUACCGGGGCUAAACAUAUUACCGAAGCUGUGGAUUGUCCUUUGGACAAUGGUAGGAGAGCGUUCUAAGGGCGUUGAAGCAUGAUCGUAAGGACAUGUGGAGCGCUUAGAAGUGAGAAUGCCGGUGUGAGUAGCGAAAGACGGGUGAGAAUCCCGUCCACCGAUUGACUAAGGUUUCCAGAGGAAGGCUCGUCCGCUCUGGGUUAGUCGGGUCCUAAGCUGAGGCCGACAGGCGUAGGCGAUGGAUAACAGGUUG
rnacentral:rRNA from 1 species